CUUUCUCACACCAAUGUGAGAGAGAUACUCUUCUUUAAAGGCGAAAGGACAAUUUGCUCUUUUCUCCCUAUUUAUUUGUUUCUCUAUUUUCCAUUCAAUUUUCAUCACUUAGAACCCAAUAGAUUAUUCGAUAUUGAUCAUGAUGUUCAGGAUGUGAAAAAUUAUGUUGAUGAGAUUCGAAAGAGAAAGAUAUGAUGCACACAUCUUGCAUAUAUACAUUCAUUCACAUGAAUUAAAUUUCAAUAAUAUUUUAUGUUGAUAUUUGUUCCUUGAGUGGAUCGGCUCUUUUGAUAAUGGUGAUUAUGCAUGGUUGCGAAACGUGAAUGUCGGGUUUAACAUGAAACCAUUAAAGUCAAAAUGAGGUGAGAUCCACUAUGAAGGCUUCUAGCAAAUAUGUAUUUGUUGCACCAAACUUGUUAUAUCUAUUGGGAUAUUAAUUUGUAGAAUUGAAUGUUAUUACAAAAGUUUUCCCACAUUAGGCAUUAUAAAUCCCAAAUCCAUCAAUUUAGCCUAUGAACUUAACCUAGUUCAUCAUUCUAGAA